UGAAACACGGACCAAGGAGUCUAGAGUGCGCGCGAGUCAAAGGGUUGGCUAAACCCCAAGGCGAAACGAAAGUGAUAAACUAUCGAUAGGGCCGAUCCGGUUCGCGCGGGAGAGUCGAGGGACUCUGCGGGGCGCUCGAGGCCGAGACCGCGAGGGGUGGGAGUUUUUUCCUUCUCCUCGUCGUCGCGGUUCUCGUUCUCCCCCUCCCUCGGUUUUCUCCCCACGAUUUGCCUCCCUAAUAUGAGGACGGCGCAGGCCCGGGGCUCGCCAACGCUUCCUCCCCGCCGUUAAGGCUGGGGCGUUCGCUUUCCCGGUCGUCGGGAGCGCGGUGGUGGACUUUUCGGGGGUCGCUUCUUCUUCCUCUCCCUCUCCCGUCUUCGCUCCUCUUCGGGGGUCGCGGUGACGCUGGAGGGGAAGGGGGGGAAGCGUCCCAAAAAGGGUCUUCUCAUCGCGCCUCCUCGCUUUCGGGGCGACGCCCAGCUGGCGCGGGACGGGCGGCGGGUCCUCCGAGCGCGUACUCUGGUACCCGAAAGAUGGUGAUCUAUGCCUGGCCAGGAUGAAGCCAGAGGAAACUCUGGUGGAGGUCCGUAGCGAUUCUGACGUGCAAAUCGAUCGUCGGAGCUGGGCAUAGCGGCGAAAGACCAAUCGAACCAUCUAGUA
rnacentral:rRNA from 1 species